rnacentral:rRNA from 1 species
AACGAACGCUGGCGGCAGGCUUAACACAUGCAAGUCGAACGCAUCCUUCGGGGUGAGUGGCAGACGGGUGAGUAACGCGUGGGAACGUGCCCUUCAGUUCGGGAUAACCCAGGGAAACUUGGGCUAAUACCGGAUACGUGCGAGAGCAGAAAGAUUUAUCGCUGAAGGAUCGGCCCGCGUCUGAUUAGCUAGUUGGUGGGGUAAUGGCCCACCAAGGCGACGAUCAGUAGCUGGUCUGAGAGGAUGAUAAGCCACAUUGGGACUGAGACACGGCCCAAACUCCUACGUGAGGCAGCAGUGGGGAAUAUUGGACAAUGGGCGCAAGCCUGAUCCAGCCAUGCCGCGUGGGUGAUGAAGGCCUUAGGGUUGUAAAGCUCUUUCGUCCGGGACGUUAAUGACGGUACCGGAAGAAGAAGCCCCGGCUAACUUCGUGCCAGCCGCCGCCGUAAAAC